rnacentral:rRNA from 1 species
UGGGGAAUUUUGCACAAUGGGGGAAACCCUGAUGCAGCGACGCCGCGUGAUUUAGAAGGCCUUCGGGUUGUAAAAAUCUUUUGUAUGGGAAGAAAAUGACAGUACCAUACGAAUAAGGACCGGCUAAUUACGUGCCAGCAGCCGCGGUAAUACGUAAGGUCCGAGCGUUGUCCGGAAUCAUUGGGCGUAAAGGGUACGUAGGCGGAUAAGCAAGUUAGAAGUGAAAUCCUAUAGCUCAACUAUAUAAAGCUUUUAAAACUGCUAGGCUUGAGAGAUGGAAGGGAAAGUGGAAUUCCUAGUGUAGCGGUGAAAUGCGCAGAUAUUAGGAAGAAUACCGGUGGCGAAGGCGACUUUCUGGUCAUCAUCUGACGCUGGGGUACGAAAGCGUGGGUAGCAAACAGG